rnacentral:tRNA from 1 species
GGCGGCGUACCCAAGUGGUAAGGGAGAGGUCUGCAAAACCUCGAUGCAUCGGUUCGAAUCCGAUCGCCGCCUCCA